rnacentral:rRNA from 1 species
AUUGAACGCUGGCGGCAUGCUUUACACAUGCAAGUCGAGCGGUAACAGGCCUUCGGGUGCUGACGAGUGGCGAACGGGUGAGUAAUGCAUCGGAACGUACCCAGAGGUGGGGGAUAACGCAGCGAAAGCUGUGCUAAUACCGCAUGUGAUCUGAGGAUGAAAGCGGGGGACCGAGCAGCAAUGUUUGGCCUCGCGCCUUUGGAGCGGCCGAUGUCGGAUUAGCUAGUUGGUGGGGUAAAGGCCUACCAAGGCGACGAUCCGUAGCUGGUCUGAGAGGACGACCAGCCACACUGGGACUGAGACACGGCCCAGACUCCUACGGGGGGCAGCGGUGGGGAAUUUUGGACAAUGAGCGCAAGCCUGAUCCAGCAAUGCCGCGUGCUGGAAGAAGGCCUUCGGGUUGUAAACCGCUUUUGGCAGGAACGAAGCGGUGUCCGCUAAUACCGGGCGCUAAUGACGGUACCUGCAGAAUAAGCACCGGCUAACUACGUG